GGGGAAUAUUGCACAAUGGGGGAAACCCUGAUGCAGCAACGCCGCGUGAGUGAUGAAGGUUUUCGGAUCGUAAAGCUCUGUUGCCAGGGAAGAACGUCGGGUAGAGUAACUGCUAUCCGAGUGACGGUACCUGAGAAGAAAGCCCCGGCUAACUACGUGCCAGCAGCCGCGGUAAUACGUAGGGGGCAAGCGUUGUCCGGAAUUAUUGGGCGUAAAGCGCGCGCAGGCGGCUGUUUAAGUCUGGUGUAUAAUCCUGGGGCUCAACUCCGGGUCGCACUGGAAACUGGACGGCUUGAGUGCAGAAGAGGAGAGUGGAAUUCCACGUGUAGCGGUGAAAUGCGUAGAGAUGUGGAGGAACACCAGUGGCGAAGGCGACUCUCUGGGCUGUAACUGACGCUGAGGCGCGAAAGCGUGGGGAGCAAAC
rnacentral:rRNA from 1 species